rnacentral:rRNA from 1 species
GAUGAACGCUGGCGGCGUGCCUAAUACAUGCAAGUCGAGCGAAGCGGGGACGGGUGAGUAACACGUGGAUAACCUCCUAUAAGACUGGGAUAACUUCGGGAAACAGGAGCAAAACCCGAAAUGUAUAGCUGGAUACUCGCGGCAUUAGCUAGUGGGUAAGGUAAUGGCUUACCAAGGCAACGAUCCAUAGCCGACCUGAGAGGGUGAUCGGCCACACUGGAACUGAGACACGGUCCAGACUCCUACGGGAGGCAGCAGUAGGGAAUCUUGCGCAAUGGGCGAAAGCCUGACGGAGCAACGCCGCGUGAGUGAUGAAGGUCUUCGGAUCGUAAAACUCUGUUAGUAGGGAAGCGGUACCUAAUCAGAAAGCCACGGCUAACUACGUGCCAGCAGCCGCGGUAAUAC